UUAAUUCGAAUUUGCAUGAAUUUGGAAUGUUUGCCUACGUUUGCCGCUAGGGGCGCUGUUCCAACUGUACACAAAAAUUCGUUA
rnacentral:pre_miRNA from 1 species